rnacentral:rRNA from 1 species
AGCCUGAACGCUGGCGGCGUGGUUAAGACAUGCAAGUCGUACGGUGUAGCAAUACACAGUGGCGAACGGGUGAGUAAUGAAUCGCUAAUGUACCCCGGACUCUGGGAUAGCUACCCGAAAGGGUAGGUAAUACCAGAUAACGUAAUCCUUCCGCAUGGUUGGAUUCCCAAAGGUCCGCCGGUCUGGGAGCAGGCGAUUUUGUAUCAGCUAGUUGGUGAGGUAACGGCUCACCAAGGCGAUGACGCAUAGCCGGACUGAGAGGUUGGCCGGCCACAUUGGGACUGAGACACUGCCCAGACUCCUACGGGGGGCUGCAGUAACGAAUCUUCCGCAAUGCACGAAAGUGUGACGGAGCGACGCCGCGUGUGGGACGAAGCCCGUUCGGGGUGUAAACCACUGUCAGAGGAUAGAAAGUUCUGAUCAUCCUCAGAGGAAGGCACGGCUAACUCUGCACCAGCAGCCGCGGUAA